UGAGUUUUAGGUGCUACCAAUCAGAGUAUUGUGAAGUUUGUUUAAGUUUACUUCUACAAAUCAGAUUUAAUUAUGAACUUUGUUUAGUGUACUACUUAAUUUUCUAUUUUAUUUAUUUGAACGGAGAGUAUUCUGAAGUUAGUUUAAUUACAAACUGUGUGCAAGUGUGUAAUGCUUAGUUUGCUAUUUAACUGAUCUGAACAUAGAUUAGUGUAUAAUAUCAUUUCUAGCAUUUGUUUUUACAGUGUGAAGUAGGUGCCACUGUAGGUGUGAUAUAAUCAUGCCAUUAAGAAACUGAAUAGUGUCAUGUCAGUUUAAUAUGAAUAGUUGUUAAGUACUUGCAUUAAGGAUAUAUAGUGUCUGUCAACAUGAUGCCUAUUCUUUACUCAUUGAUAGUUCUGUACAUUUGAAGGAUAAUGGAUAUGCCAAAUAUUAAUUCUUUUUUCCAUUCUUGAUGUGCUGCACGUGGUAGGACAUAACUCGAAUCUGCUGUGCUGUCCCAAGCUAUUGUGGAACCUGCAGCCCAUUGAUACAAUUUCUGCAUCUUGCCUUCCUUGACAAAUAAUUUUGAUGCUGCUAUUUUGCAUCUUCAGAAAUUUUCGUGCAGAAAGGAAGGAAUUAUAUUCCUUGAUUGCAUUCAAGCGCAAGGCAGAACGAUAAGCAACUCCCAAAAGACUGAUGGUACACAGUUGGGAGUCAUUCUCAAGCGAGAAUACCUGGGUCUGGUUGAGGCCAAGGGGAACACAGAUUCAUCACAUGAUAGCUUGGAGGAUGCUACUAUGGACGACCUUGUUGGCCAUGGCAAUACUGGAGGUAGAAAUUGUAAGAACAUUGGUGGUGGUGAAAGGAACAACUUUCGCUACAAUCGUGAUGGUGAUAAUAACUGUGCAUUUAGAGGAGGAUCUCAGAAGUGUAUUUGCACUUCAAAUAAUUGACACUCUUAUGGUAUUUUAGAUCUUUUUUGGUAGAUAAUCCUCCUGAUCGGAAACCUGUAUGAAUUAGAUGUUCAUGUAUAUAUUUUGUUGUUACAUUGCAUUGCCAUGUGCAAUGUGUGGAUACAAACUAGAGUGGGGGUGACAUGUAUCUGUGCCAUUGUUAUUACUUGCUUUUGGGCAAGUCUGUACAUGUCAAGCAACAACUUUUACUGUAUUGUUAUACUCAUAGACGCUAUGUACUGGA